AUCAAACCAAUUGACUCAUCAACU
rnacentral:siRNA from 1 species